GACUCCCCUGGCAUCAACAGCACAAUUCUAAACCCAAAAACAUAAAAAAAUGGCAGCAAGUGUAGCAACAAUGGCGAUGCUCAAUGCAAAAUGCCUAAGCAUCAGCUCAACUAAGAUGAGCAGCCCAACAAAGCCAACCCCAAAGCCCUUCUCCCUUCUCUCCAUGCAGAACCUCCCCAAAGGCCUCACCAUCUCAAAACCAGCCAACAACUCAAACCUACCUUCUUCACUCGCUGGCAGCGCCAUUGCUGGAGCUAUCUUCUCAACCUUAAGUUCAUGUGACCCCGCCUUAGCUGCACAACAGAUUGCUGAAAUAGCUGAAGGAGACAACCGUGGGCUAGCUCUAUUGCUUCCCAUAAUCCCAGCGAUCGCUUGGGUCCUCUUCAACAUCCUCCAGCCAGCACUUAACCAGCUGAAUCGAAUGAGGAGCUCCAAAGGGGUUAUCAUAGGGCUAGGGCUCGGAGGAUUGGCUGCAUCAGGGUUCAUGUCAAC
rnacentral:lncRNA from 1 species